GAAACGCGAUAGUUAAUGUGAAUUGCAGAAUUCAGUGAAUCAUCGAGUCUUUGAACGCACAUUGCGCCCAUAGGUAUUCCUUUGGGCAUGUCUGUUUGAGCGUCAUUACAACCCUCAGCUAACCGCUGGUUUUGAACCUGAACGGGUGACACCGCGCCGGUUUUAAAGUUGUAAGCUCUGCUGGCCUCUGCCCAACCAGAACAUAGUAAGCACUACUUGUCCGGGUGAAGCUGAACGGUACGGCCUGAACAAAACCUACCCACUCUCAAGGUUUGACCUCAGAUCAGACAAGGAUACCCGCUGAACUUAAGC
rnacentral:misc_RNA from 1 species